rnacentral:rRNA from 1 species
AUUGAACGCUGGCGGCAUGCCUUACACAUGCAAGUCGAACGGUAACGCGGGGCAACCUGGCGACGAGUGGCGAACGGGUGAGUAAAGUAUCGGAACGUGCCCAAUAGUGGGGGAUAGCCCGGCGAAAGCCGGAUUAAUACCGCAUGAGACCUGAGGGUGAAAGCGGGGGACUCGCAAGAGCCUCGCGCUGUUGGAGCGGCCGAUAUCAGAUUAGGUAGUUGGUGGGGUAAAGGCCUACCAAGCCGACGAUCUGUAGCUGGUCUGAGAGGACGACCAGCCACACUGGGACUGAGACACGGCCCAGACUCCUACGGGAGGCAGCAGUGGGGAAUUUUGGACAAUGGGCGCAAGCCUGAUCCAGCCAUGCCGCGUGAGUGAAGAAGGCCUCGGUUGUAAG